CGCGCGAAAAGCUAAACCUCUCGUGAGGGAGGGGCAGAAAGCUACGGGUCUUCUGGACGAAGACGGCCGAGCUAUCGAA
rnacentral:ncRNA from 1 species